CCCUUAGACGUUCUGGGCCGCACGCGCGCUACACUGACCGGUGCAACAAGCAUCCGUCCUUGGCCGACAGGCCCGGGCAAUCUUUGAACGCCGGUCGUGAUGGGGAUAGACUUUUGCAAUUUUUGGUCUUCAACGAGGAAUCCCUAGUAAACGCAAGUCAUCAACUUGCAUUGAUUACGUCCCUGCCCUUUGUACACACCGCCCGUCGCACCUACCGAUUGAAUGGUCCGGUGAAGCCUCCGGAUUGGCGCGCACCUCGGUGCCGCCGAGAAGUUGGCUAAACCUUACCAUUUAGAGGAAGGUGAAGUCGUAACA
rnacentral:rRNA from 1 species